GACGAACGCUGGCGGCGUGCUUAACACAUGCAAGUCGAACGGUGAAGCGCCUUCCUUUUUGGAGGGUGUGGAUGAGUGGCGAACGGGUGAGUAACACGUGAGUAACCUGCCCCCUUCUUCUGGAUAACCGCAUGAAAGUGUGGCUAAUACGGGAUAUUCUGGGUCUUUCGAUUGAUGGUUGUGGGAAGAAAUUGCUUCAGGCGGGGAUGGGCCCGCGGUCUAUUAGGUUGUUGGUGGGGUGGUGGCCCACCAAGGCGGUGACGGGUAGCCGGGCUGAGGGGGUGGACGGUCACUGGGGCUGAGACACGGCCCAGCCUCCUACGGGAGGCAGCAGUGGGGAUUAUUGAACAAUGGGAGCAAGCCUGAUGCAGCGACGCCGCGGGAGGGUUGGAGGCCUUCGGGUUGUGAACCUCUUUCGCCAGUGAAGCAGGCCUGCCUUGUUUGUGGGUGCGUUGACGGUAGCUGGAUAAGAAGAGCCGGCUAACUACGUG
rnacentral:rRNA from 1 species